AGUGAACGCUGGCGGUAGGCCUAACACAUGCAAGUCGAACGGCAGCACAGUAAGAGCUUGCUCUUACGGGUGGCGAGUGGCGGACGGGUGAGGAAUACAUCGGAAUCUACUUUUUCGUGGGGGAUAACGUAGGGAAACUUACGCUAAUACCGCAUACGACCUACGGGUGAAAGCAGGGGAUCUUCGGACCUUGCGCGAUUGAAUGAGCCAAUGUCGGAUUAGCUAGUUGGCGGGGUAAAGGCCCACCAAGGCGACGAUCCGUAGCUGGUCUGAGAGGAUGAUCAGCCACACUGGAACUGGGACACGGUCCAGACUCCUACGGGAGGCAGCAGUGGGGAAUAUUGGACAAUGGGCGCAAGCCUGAUCCAGCCAUACCGCGUGGGUGAAGAAGGCCUUCGGGUUGUAAAGCCCUUUUGUUGGGAAAGAAAAGCAGCAGGUUAAUACCCCGCUGUUCUGACGGUACCCAAAGAAUAAGCACCGGCUAACUUCGUG
rnacentral:rRNA from 1 species